rnacentral:rRNA from 1 species
UUUGUGGGCUUUGCCUGCUAUCUCUUACCCAUGUCUUUUGAGUACCUUCGUUUCCUCGGCGGGUCCGCCCGCCGAUCGGACAAAACUUUAAACCCUUUGCAGUUGCAAUCAGCGUCUGAAAAAAACUUUAAUAGUUACAACUUUCAACAACGGAUCUCUUGGUUCUGGCAUCGAUGAAGAACGCAGCGAAAUGCGAUAAGUAGUGUGAAUUGCAGAAUUCAGUGAAUCAUCGAAUCUUUGAACGCACAUUGCGCCCCUUGGUAUUCCAUGGGGCAUGCCUGUUCGAGCCGUCAUUUGUACCUUCAAGCUCUGCUUGGUGUUGGGUGUUUGUCUCGCCUCUUUUUGCGUGUAGACUCGCCUCAAAACAAUUGGCAGCCGGCGUAUUGAUUUCGGAGCGCAGACAUCUCGCGCUUUGCACUCAUAACGACGACGUCCAAAAGUACAUUUCUUACACUCUUGACCUCGG